rnacentral:rRNA from 1 species
UACCCGCAGCACAAGUGGUGGUCAUUAUUAUUGGGCCUAAAGCGUCCGUAGCUGGCUUGUUAGAUGCCUGGGUAAAUCGAUGCGCUCAACGUAUCGAACUCCGGGUAGACCGGCAAGCUUGGGACCGGGAGAGGCGUGAGCUACUCGGGGGGUAGGGGUAAAAUCCUGUAAUCCUCCGGGGAGGACCAGUGGCGAAGGCGUCACGCUAGAACGGCUCCGACAGUGAGGGACGAAAGCUGGGGGAGCAAACCGG